AGACACAGGAUUCGGAUAAAAUAAUAAAAUUUCUUCUCGCGAGUGGGCUGGAACUCCAGAAACUGGUCUGAUCAACCUGCUACCUCAACUUCUUCUAGCAAGAGCAUAUCUCUUUUCUUUGAGCACAUACUCUUUUCCCAUCACCCAUUACAUUUGAUCUCAUAGGGCUGCCUGUUUCUGCAUCUUGGCCCCAUGGCUUCAAUAAG
rnacentral:lncRNA from 1 species